rnacentral:sRNA from 1 species
CGCUGCGUUAGAUGUGCUGAAGAGCACGU